CUGCGCCUUCUCCCUCUCUGCGCAGCACCUCUCCUGUGAAGGAGAGGUGCUGCGCGGAGAGGGAGAAGGCGCAG
rnacentral:miRNA from 1 species